rnacentral:rRNA from 1 species
GACGGAGGGUGCUAGCGUUGUUCGGAAUGACUGGGCGUAAGGGGCGCGUAGGCGGCCGCUUGCGUCGGAUGUGAAAGCCCGGGGCUCAACCCCGGAACGGCAUCCGAUACGGGGCGGCUCGAGACCGAGAGAGGUGAGUGGAAUACCCAGUGUAGAGGUGAAAUUCGUAGAUAUUGGGUGGAACACCGGUGGCGAAAGCGGCUCACUGGCUCGGUUCUGACGCUGAGGCGCGAAAGCGUGGGGAGCAAACAGG